AACGAACGCUGGCGGCAUGCCUAACACAUGCAAGUCGAACGAGACCUUCGGGUCUAGUGGCGCACGGGUGCGUAACGCGUGGGAACCGGCCCUUAGGUUCGGAAUAACUCCCCGAAAGGGGUGCUAAUACCGGAUAAUGUCUUCGGACCAAAGAUUUAUCGCCUUUGGAUGGGCCCGCGUUGGAUUAGCUAGUUGGUAGGGUAAAAGCCUACCAAGGCGACGAUCCAUAGCUGGUCUGAGAGGAUGAUCAGCCACACUGGGACUGAGACACGGCCCAGACUCCUACGGGAGGCAGCAGUGGGGAAUAUUGGACAAUGGGCGAAAGCCUGAUCCAGCAAUGCCGCGUGAGUGAUGAAGGCCUUAGGGUUGUAAAGCUCUUUUAACCGGGAUGAUAAUGACAGUACCGGGAGAAUAAGCCCCGGCUAACUCCGUG
rnacentral:rRNA from 1 species